AGAGUUUGAUCCUGGCUUAGGAUGAACGCUAGCGGCAGGCUUAACACAUGCAAGUCGAGGGGCAGCGGGAUGUAGCAAUACAUUGCCGGCGACCGGCGGAUGGGUGCGUAACGCGUAUGCAACCUACCUUAUACAGGGGAAUAACCUUUCGAAAGGGAGACUAACACCCCAUAGUAUUGAUUUAAGGCAUCUUAGAUUAAUUAAAUAUUUAUAGGUAUAAGAUGGGCAUGCGUAUGAUUAGCUAGUUGGUAAGGUAACGGCUUACCAAGGCGACGAUCAUUAGGGGUUCUGAGAGGAAGGUCCCCCACACUGGAACUGAGACACGGUCCAGACUCCUACGGGAGGCAGCAGUGAGGAAUAUUGGGCAAUGGAUGGAAAUCUGAUCCAGCCAUGCCGCGUGCAAGGAAGACGGCCCUAUGGGUUGUAAACUGCUUUUGUAUGGGAGCAAUAAGGGCUACGUGUAGUCCGAUGAGAGUACCAUACGAAUAAGCACCGGCUAACUCCGUGCCAGCAGCUGC
rnacentral:rRNA from 1 species